rnacentral:rRNA from 1 species
GGGCCCGCACAAGCGGUGGAGCAUGUGGUUUAAUUCGAUGAUACGCGAGGAACCUUACCAGGGCUUAAAUGUAAGUUGCAUUAGUUAGAGAUAGCUAUUUCUUCGGACCACUUACAAGGUGCUGCAUGGUUGUCGUCAGCUCGUGCCGUGAGGUGUCAGGUUAAGUCCUAUAACGAGCGCAACCCCUGUCGUUAGUUACCAGCAAGUAAUGUUGGGUACUCUAGCGAGACUGCCGGUGCAAACCGUGAGGAAGGUGGGGAUGACGUCAAAUCAUCACGGCCCUUACGUCCUGGGCUACACACGUGCUACAAUGGCCGGUACAGAGAGCAGCCACUACGCGAGUAGGAGCGAAUCUCAUAAAACGUCUCGUAGUCCGGAUUGGAGUCUGCAACUCGACUCCAUGAAGUCGGAAUC